CGUGCUAAUCUGCGAUAAGCGUCGGUAAGGUGAUAUGAACCGUUAUAACCGGCGAUUUCCGAAUGGGGAAACCCAGUGUGUUUCGACACACUAUCAUUAACUGAAUCCAUAGGUUAAUGAGGCGAACCGGGGGAACUGAAACAUCUAAGUACCCCGAGGAAAAGAAAUCAACCGAGAUUCCCCCAGUAGCGGCGAGCGAACGGGGAGCAACCCAGAGCCUGAAUCAGUGUGUGUGUUAGUGGAAGCGUCUGGAAAGGCGUGCGAUACAGGGUGACAGCCCCGUACACAAAAAUGCACAUACUGUGAGCUCGAUGAGUAGGGCGGGACACGUGGUAUCCUGUCUGAAUAUGGGGGGACCAUCCUCCAAGGCUAAAUACUCCUGACUGACCGAUAGUGAACCAGUACCGUGAGGGAAAGGCGAAAAGAACCCCGGCGAGGGGAGUGAAAAAGAACCUGAAACCGUGUACGUACAAGCAGUGGGAGCACGCUUAGGCGUGUGACUGCGUACCUUUUGUAUAAUGGGUCAGCGACUUAUAUUCUGUAGCAAGGUUAACCGAAUAGGGGAGCCGAAGGGAAACCGAGUCUUAACUGGGCGUUAAGUUGCAGGGUAUAGACCCGAAACCCGGUGAUCUAGCCAUGGGCAGGUUGAAGGUUGGGUAACACUAACUGGAGGACCGAACCGACUAAUGUUGAAAAAUUAGCGGAUGACUUGUGGCUGGGGGUGAAAGGCCAAUCAAACCGGGAGAUAGCUGGUUCUCCCCGAAAGCUAUUUAGGUAGCGCCUCGUGAAUUCAUCGUCCGGGGGUAGAGCACUGUUUCGGCAAGGGGGUCAUCCCGACUUACCAACCCGAUGCAAACUGCGAAUACCGGAGAAUGUUAUCACGGGAGACACACGGCGGGUGCUAACGUCCGUCGUGAAGAGGGAAACAACCCAGACCGCCAGCUAAGGUCCCAAAGUCAUGGUUAAGUGGGAAACGAUGUGGGAAGGCCCAGACAGCCAGGAUGUUGGCUUAGAAGCAGCCAUCAUUUAAAGAAAGCGUAAUAGCUCACUGGUCGAGUCGGCCUGCGCGGAAGAUGUAACGGGGCUAAACCAUGCACCGAAGCUGCGGCAGCGACACUAUGUGUUGUUGGGUAGGGGAGCGUUCUGUAAGCCUGUGAAGGUGUGCUGUGAGGCAUGCUGGAGGUAUCAGAAGUGCGAAUGCUGACAUAAGUAACGAUAAAGCGGGUGAAAAGCCCGCUCGCCGGAAGACCAAGGGUUCCUGUCCAACGUUAAUCGGGGCAGGGUGAGUCGACCCCUAAGGCGAGGCCGAAAGGCGUAGUCGAUGGGAAACAGGUUAAUAUUCCUGUACUUGGUGUUACUGCGAAGGGGGGACGGAGAAGGCUAUGUUGGCCGGGCGACGGUUGUCCCGGUUUAAGCGUGUAGGCUGGUUUUCCAGGCAAAUCCGGAAAAUCAAGGCUGAGGCGUGAUGACGAGGCACUACGGUGCUGAAGCAACAAAUGCCCUGCUUCCAGGAAAAGCCUCUAAGCAUCAGGUAACAUCAAAUCGUACCCCAAACCGACACAGGUGGUCAGGUAGAGAAUACCAAGGCGCUUGAGAGAACUCGGGUGAAGGAACUAGGCAAAAUGGUGCCGUAACUUCGGGAGAAGGCACGCUGAUAUGUAGGUGAAGUCCCUCGCGGAUGGAGCUGAAAUCAGUCGAAGAUACCAGCUGGCUGCAACUGUUUAUUAAAAACACAGCACUGUGCAAACACGAAAGUGGACGUAUACGGUGUGACGCCUGCCCGGUGCCGGAAGGUUAAUUGAUGGGGUUAGCCGCAAGGCGAAGCUCUUGAUCGAAGCCCCGGUAAACGGCGGCCGUAACUAUAACGGUCCUAAGGUAGCGAAAUUCCUUGUCGGGUAAGUUCCGACCUGCACGAAUGGCGUAAUGAUGGCCAGGCUGUCUCCACCCGAGACUCAGUGAAAUUGAACUCGCUGUGAAGAUGCAGUGUACCCGCGGCAAGACGGAAAGACCCCGUGAACCUUUACUAUAGCUUGACACUGAACAUUGAGCCUUGAUGUGUAGGAUAGGUGGGAGGCUUUGAAGUGUGGACGCCAGUCUGCAUGGAGCCGACCUUGAAAUACCACCCUUUAAUGUUUGAUGUUCUAACGUUGACCCGUAAUCCGGGUUGCGGACAGUGUCUGGUGGGUAGUUUGACUGGGGCGGUCUCCUCCUAAAGAGUAACGGAGGAGCACGAAGGUUGGCUAAUCCUGGUCGGACAUCAGGAGGUUAGUGCAAUGGCAUAAGCCAGCUUGACUGCGAGCGUGACGGCGCGAGCAGGUGCGAAAGCAGGUCAUAGUGAUCCGGUGGUUCUGAAUGGAAGGGCCAUCGCUCAACGGAUAAAAGGUACUCCGGGGAUAACAGGCUGAUACCGCCCAAGAGUUCAUAUCGACGGCGGUGUUUGGCACCUCGAUGUCGGCUCAUCACAUCCUGGGGCUGAAGUAGGUCCCAAGGGUAUGGCUGUUCGCCAUUUAAAGUGGUACGCGAGCUGGGUUUAGAACGUCGUGAGACAGUUCGGUCCCUAUCUGCCGUGGGCGCUGGAGAACUGAGGGGGGCUGCUCCUAGUACGAGAGGACCGGAGUGGACGCAUCACUGGUGUUCGGGUUGUCAUGCCAAUGGCACUGCCCGGUAGCUAAAUGCGGAAGAGAUAAGUGCUGAAAGCAUCUAAGCACGAAACUUGCCCCGAGAUGAGUUCUCCCUGACUCCUUGAGAGUCCUGAAGGAACGUUGAAGACGACGACGUUGAUAGGCCGGGUGUGUAAGCGCAGCGAUGCGUUGAGCUAACCGGUACUAAUGAACCGUGAGGCUUAACCUU
rnacentral:rRNA from 1 species